UGGUAUAAUGCUUACAUUUCAUAAAAUAUAAACAUAUAUACAUAUGUAUAAAGUCAUGGAAAAUUUUCUUCUUUAAAGUGUGUGUGUGUAAAUACACACACAUACACACACAUACACACACAUGACUACAGACAUGCACACACGUAUUUUUAGGUAUAUAUGCAUGUCUGCUUCUCUUGAGGGAAAAGGGAAGUUCUUGGAAUUAAGGACAGAAUAAGAAAUACUUUAAUUUUCAGCUAUUCUGGUUAAGUGUAAGGGUGAAACAGUCCACUGUUGUAAGUGGAAAUGUUUAUAUAACCCUGGAGAAAGCUGUCACUGGAAAUUGCAGAAUAUCUAUUUUUUUGUGAAAAUUUAGGUAAUCAGUUUCAUGUACAUCAAUCAAUAACAAUUCUUUAUUGUACUUGGGGAAAAAAGACGUCUCUCAAGACCCCGUUCAGGUCUGUAUCUCUAAAUUAUUUUGAUUACUUUUCUUCUUUUUACUGUUCAGGAAGGAGUAGCUCAUGCUCACUAAAUUAAACCAAGACCUCAGAGUGUUCAGAACACCAUCACCAAAUGUUUGAGAGGCUGCACUAGGAAAGAGUCAUUGUUAAGAAAGUACUCACAUAAUAUUCAAUGCUAGGAUGAUGACUAUAGUAAUAUUUAGGGAUAGUAACAUUCAGGCUUUUAAUAGUUCAAUUAUUUGCUGUGUCUUUUAAUAUCAGAUAAUUCUCUAAGAGGUGUGAUUCAUCUAGAAGGGAGGAAAAGGAUCAUUAAAGGGAAAUCCCUUUUAAUGCAAGAGCAGUGCUUGAGGUCAUGCUUGAGUUCAGCACUUCUGUCUUCCAGGAGCUGUUCUGUUGCUUCUUUUCCUGGUGGAGAAGUGAUAAGAGCUUGUCAGUGCAAAGGAAAGAGAGGGGGGAAAAUCCCCUAAAUAUCUAUCAGACAGAAAGAUGAUGCUUAUUACUGAAUCAAGUUAUGACGGUAAAAAAAACAAACAAACAAAACCAAAAAACCCCAAAUCAUGUCUGCCACUUAGAUAGCAAGAGCUGAACUGGUUUUGUGAUUUUUUCCAUUACACUCAUCUGAAUACAGUAAAAGAAACUCCAGAUUCCAAAGAAGACUUUUACCAGGGUAUUUACCAGGGUAUACUGGCAAGUGACUGUACUGGACAUGACAUAGGGAUUCUUAUUUAUGGCCUGGGGACAAGGCUUCCUGUGCUUUUCUCUUUUAUUUUUUUUUAAAAAUUUUUUUGGUGUGUGUAUGAGCUCAUUUUCUCCUUCUUUUUAAUAUUUGUGAGAGAAGUGUCAGAAGAAAAGGACUGGAACUGCAGUGGGUUCAAAGAGGCUGAAAGUUCAAAUCUUGCCUUAGCCCCUUUUAUUAACCUGAAGGUUAAGAUGUAAGGGUGGUAUUCUCCCAUUAAGGAUGGUGAAACAGUGUGAAAAAUGAGCUAUGGAGGCAAACACUGGACAUUUUUAAGAACAGGUUUUAUUAUCUGUAAGGGGAUUAAGUAUGGCAUUAACCACACUGAAGACUGGCAGUAACCAUAUACUUACCUGCUGGUCUGGAGGUUAGUUUCAGCAAUGUUGUCUGUGAAAUGCAUGACAAAAUUUAAGUGAUAUUGAUAAAAUCUUUGUAACUUGUUUUUACUCCUCUGAUAUCUGUAGAUACUGCAGCAAGCCUCAGGGCCCUUAAGGACUGCAGACAUAGCUAUGUAUAGCUACAUUUGAGACAGCAGCACUGCCCAGAGUUACUGACCCUCUUCAGUGCACAGUACAGAGACAUCCAACAAGGCCCCAGCAAGAAAUAAGAGGAAGAUCAACAUCAUUUCUGCUUAGGAGAGCAAGGUGGUUUCAGUAGAUUUUGAUGCAGGCUUGGACUAGAUGUGUGGCUAAACUAAGUACUGCAGUAGAAAGCCAAAUCAAAGGCCCAUUGACCUCACUGCCUUGUUUCUCACAGACGUUGAGAAGCUGUCCAGGAAAGUACAUAGAAACAGGCUGGAUUGCUCCCAGUCCUGUGCUUUGUCACAGUUUCUUUGGGAUUUGGAGCUGUGGCUUACAUUCUGGUACGUCAAUUUCUCAGUUGUAUGGAGUGAGACUCUGCUGACGUUCUUUGGCUUCCUGUUCAGUGAGGCUGUGCUCGGCAUCCUCGGAUUUAAGCACAAUGUGAAUUUUCUUAGACUUCACCCUCCAGACCUCAUUUUGUUUCAUCAGCCCUUCCCUGCCUGUGAGUAAUGAUCGUGAUCACAUCAUGCGGUGGCUGUGGGGAAGGAAGGUCCCCUCGGCUGCAGCCCUUUCGGUGGCAGCAGUGUGGGUGAGAUCAGAAAUUUGGUGUCUCUUCCUUCCCUGUGGAUCCCAGUGCUGAGAAGCCAGCAGCAGUCAAGAGAAGUCACAUUGUUUGUGUGUUGGUGGUUUUCUUAUGAAUGCUGGAAUUACCACAAUUGUAUGAAUAAUUCAUUCAUGAAAAUGAUGCUUGAAAAAGAAAAGUACUCUUCUAUUAUUCUUGGAAAUUGUUAACCCAGUUACUUUUUUUUGCCUUUGCUGUGGUGGGACCUGGCAGUGGCUGUCAUUGAGAGCCAGCAAGUUCAUCUCAGUGAAAGUUAGAGAGGGGGGGGGCAGGAAAGAUGGAGGCCCUUCCCCGCUGCCACUGAUGGCUUUUGUGGGUGUUCUCAGAAAGUCCUGCCGGGCGUCCCGGGUGACUCACCGGCAGCUGACUGAAGGCAGGCAGGAGGCCAGCAGCCCCUGCACAACUGGAAAGUACACAGCCAUCCCAGUGUGUGCCAGAAAAAGGAGAAGAUGACAUGCAGCGAUGUGUCUGUCUGCCUGUCUUGUCUGUCUGUCACAAGGCUAGAAAAAACAGUUCUUUGUAGGAUCUAUGGAAGCUUAGUGCUGUGAAGUCAACUUUGUUCUUGCAAGAGGGACUGUUGGAUGGUCAAGUGGA